GGCCCCAUAGUUGAAUGGAUACAACGUGGUCCUCCUAAGACUGAAGUACAGGUUCGAUUCCUGUUGGGGCCGCCA
rnacentral:tRNA from 1 species